rnacentral:rRNA from 1 species
GGAGGAGGCAAGCGUUGUCCGGAAUUAUUGGGGCGUAAAGAGCGCGUAGGCUUGGUUUUUCAAGUCAUAUGUGAAAACCUCAGGGCUUAACUUGAGGACUGCAUAUGAAACUGGAAAACUUGAGUGCAGUAGGGAAAGUGGAAUUCCUGGUGUAGCGGUGAAAUGCGCAGAUAUCAGGAAGAACACCGGUAGCGAAGGCGGCUUUCUGGGCUGCUACUGACGCUGAGGCGCGAAAGCUAGGGGAGCAAACAGGAUUAGAUACCCUGGUAGUCCUAGCUGUAAACGAUGGACACUAGGUGUGGGAAGUUAUCGACGCUUUCCGUGCCGGAGCUAACGCAUUAAGUGUCCCGCCUGGGGAGUACGGCCGCAAGGCU